rnacentral:rRNA from 1 species
AGAGAGAGACAUGCGCGCAUAUCAAUAAGCGGAGGAAAAGAAACUAACUAGGAUUCCCCUUAGUAACGGCGAGUGAAGCGGGAAGAGCUCAAAUUUGAAAUCUUCAAGGUUUUACCUUGACGAAUUGUAGUUUAAAGAAGUGUUUUCUGCUGAAGUUUUGGUAAAAGUUCUUUGGAAUAGGACAUCAUAGAGGGUGAGAAUCCCGUAUUUGACCAUUAUUUUCAGCUUUGUGAUACACUUUCGAAGAGUCGGAUUGUUUGGGAAUGCAGUCCUAAAUGGGUGGUAAAUUUCAUCUAAAGCUAAAUAUUGGCGAGAGACCGAUAGCGAACAAGUACCGUGAGGGAAAGAUGAAAAGAACUUUGAAAAGAGAGUUAAACAGUACGUGAAAUUGUCAAAAGGGAAGCGUUUGACACCAGUGUUGUUUUCUCGAAAAUCAAUUAAAAAUGGCUCGAUUUUGUAUUGCUUGAGACCUUAAAAGCUCACUGUACAUUUUUCGUGUCUUUUUUAAUGCACUUUUCGUUUAACAAGUCAACAUCAGUUUCUUUUGUUGUAAAAGGGUCAUUGGAAGGUGGCUUUCUUUUCGGAGAAAGUGUUUAUAGCCUUUGGCCUCUGCAAUCGAAGAGACUGAGGUCUGCAGCGUAGACUCUUCGGGGUUAGAUACAUUUGUGCUAAGUUAUAGCUUUUUAUAGACAACUUGUUGACUAUAAUUAGUCUUGUAGCUUACUCGCUUAUGCUAUUUUACCUACGCUUAGGAUGUUGAGUCGUAGAGCACGCAG